rnacentral:rRNA from 1 species
CUACGUGCCAGCAGCCGCGGUAAUACGGAGGAUGUGAGCGUUAUCCGGAUUUAUUGGGUUUAAAGGGUGCGUAGGCGGCCUGUUAAGUCAGCGGUGAAAUCUAGGAGCUUAACUCCUAAAUUGCCAUUGAUACUGGCGGGCUUGAGUGUAGAUGAGGUAGGCGGAAUGCGUGGUGUAGCGGUGGAAUGCAUAGAUAUCACGCAGAACUCCGAUUGCGAAGGCAGCUUACUAAGGUACAACUGACGCUGAAGCACGAAAGCGUGGGUAUCAAACAGGAUUAGAUACCCUGGUAGUCCACGCAGUAAACGAUGAUAACUGGGCGUAUGCGAUAUACAGUAUGCUCCUAAGCGAAAGCGUUAAGUUAUCCACCUGGGGAGUACGCCGGCAACGGUGAAACUCAAAGGAAUUGACGGGGGCCCGCACAAGCGGAGGAACAUGUGGUUUAAUUCGAUGAUACGCGAGGAACCUUACCCGGGAUUGAA